UUCCUACGGGCGGCUGCAGUGGGGAAUUUUGGACAAUGGGGGCAACCCUGAUCCAGCCAUGCCGCGUGCGGGAAGAAGGCCUUCGGGUUGUAAACCGCUUUUAGUCGGGAAGAAAAGGUUACCCCUAAUAAGGGUGACUCUUGACGGUACCGGCGGAAUAAGCACCGGCUAACUACGUGCCAGCAGCCGCGGUAAUACGUAGGGUGCGAGCGUUAAUCGGAAUUACUGGGCGUAAAGCGUGCGCAGGCGGUUCGUUAAGUUCGAUGUGAAAGCCCCGGGCUCAACCUGGGAAUGGCAUUGAAAACUGGCGGGCUUGAGUCUGGCAGAGGGGGGUGGAAUUCCGCGUGUAGCAGUGAAAUGCGUAGAGAUGCGGAGGAACACCGAUGGCGAAGGCAGCCCCCUGGGCCAAGACUGACGCUCAGGCACGAAAGCGUGGGGAGCAAACAGGAUUAGAUACCCCGGUAGUCU
rnacentral:rRNA from 1 species